rnacentral:misc_RNA from 1 species
GCCACUUUCUCCAAUGUUUUGACCUCAAUACACGCCAAAAUUCCCUUCAAUUUUCCAAUCAUUAGUACCCAAAAUCCCAUCAAUUCUCAAUCUUUGCUUCAAUUAUCACAACCCCAGAUCAAAAUCUUGACAAAAUUAGCAAAAAUUUGCUAGUUCUAUGUUGUUCUACCAUGUAAAAAAUCCCAAAACUCCAUAAAUUCACAAUCUUUACUGCCAUUCUCAUAACCCCAGAUCAAAAUCUUGAUAAAAUUAGCCAGUUCUAUAUAGUUGUCUGAUGUAAAAAUCCAUAAAUCCCAAUCUUUUCUCCAAAUCUCACAACCCCAGAUAGUAUUUUGACAGAAAGUUGCCUGUUUUAGAGUUCUUUGUGUACCAUGUGUCAUGAUUUGAACUAUAAUCUUUGAUGCCUAAGAAAACCCAGUUUAGUAUAAGCUCAUCUGAUUCAGAUUCCCCAAGAAAAAAUCUUGGUUCUUCUGUUUCUACAGAGCCAGGACCAGG